AAGAUUGGUGCGAUUUAGAAUCUAAAGAGAACUAAAACAUCAAAAAAGGUUGACUAAGAAAAUUGUCAUCAGUGAGCUUUAAUGCUUGAAUUUAUAUCAAUUUAGAAUCGAACUAAUGAAAAAGUGACAUCUUGGCAUCUCUGACAAGGAAGACAAAUUCUUAGCAUUGACAUUGGAAGCAUAAAAUCUUCUGGGAUCUUACGGAGAAUGACAAACACUCCAACAAGACAGCUUGGCAUCUGGUAAGAAAAUCUAAACCCAAACAACAUCUCAUAGGUAAGAUCUAGAAUCCUAAUAUUCCUUUUAAUAUGUCCUUUUUGGUGUGGAGGCUUUGGAAUGGUAAGCUUCUUUUUGAUAAAGUUAUUUCGAGGUUUGGGAGACAAAUUUUUUCUAGGUGUAGCUGCUAUGAAAAUCCUGUAUAUAAAAAUAUGCAACAUGUUUUUGUUGAAGGACAAACAGCCAGUUAAAAAACUAUUUGGUCAUCAAAUUGGUAUUAGGUAUCAUCCCCAACUCAUUAGAAAUAUCUUAAAUAAUUGGUGGAAUGUUAGAGCGGUAAAUGAGAUUCACAAGUUGGCUUUAAGGAUUACCCCCAUUAUUAUAUGCUGGAUGCUAUGGAAAGAAUAUUGUGCUUGCAUGUAUGGCAAUCAGAAAAAAUUCAACCUCUAUAAAUUGCAACAACAAACAUGUUGGGCUGUGAAGGCUGCUCUUCUCAAAGCAUAUCCAAAAUGUGAUCUUCCAAUGCCAUGGAACAAUUUUGUUGACACAUUGGUAGUGCUACACCACAAGCAAAGCAUUUAGGUUGUGCACUGACAAAAACCUAUGACAGGUAGGCUGAAGCUUAACACUGAUGGGAGUUUCAUAAGCACUGAUGGAAACACAGGCCUGGGAGGUGCCUUAUGGAAUGAUACUGGCGAUUUGAUCAUGGCUUUUUAUGUCCCAUAAAGAUGCAGCAAUCAUAAUGUUCCAGAAUCUAAUGCAGCUCUUUUUGGUAUUUCACGGUGUAUAGAAAGUGAAUACACAAAUUUCACUUUAGAAAUAGACUCUUUAAUUCUUGCUGACUUGCUAAAAGAGGAGUCAGAGAGCAAUUAUAAUAUGGUGCUGAUCAUAGAAAAAAUCGUCCAUCAAAGACAUGCAGCUAGUAUAGAUAUUGUCCAUUGCUAUAGAGAAGCUAACCAGCUAACGGAUACUUUAGAAAAGAUGGCAUCAAAGGCACACGUUGGAGCUCUAUUCCUCUCCAGGCAGCAGCUUCCUAGAGAGGCCAAAGGCCCUUUCUACUUGGAUAAAAGCCAAAAUUCCAAGUAUUAGAGUUAAAUAUGACAAAGCCAACUUUUUUGUUAGCUAGGUACUAUUAUUGUGGCAGGUGAACUUUUUUGUCAUCACCUUGCCAUUUUUGUAUUUUGAAAGGGUAAUCUUAAUCCUUGUGUUUUAUCAUUGACAAUCAUUUUGAAGUAAUACAACACCCCAUCAGAUGGGAAGUUAUAUAUAAAAAAAAAGUGACAUCUAUAGAUUGCUAGAAAAAUACAACAAAAAAAUGGACGAAGUUUAAACGCAAGGAACAAGAUUAAUUAUGUAUAUAUCAUGCGUUUACAAGAAAACACAAUUAAAAGUAAAGACUAAUGUACUGUAUAUUUUCUCUAAACAAUGGUUAUGUACCAUAUGUUUUGUUGGAUCUAUUAAUUACAAUAUGUGCAUAGAAAUAUUUACCCGGGUGAGAAAGGAAAAAGAGAUUUAAAAAAAAAAAGAGGAAAAAACAAAGUGCAAAUAGUUUAUGAGUCAGCCCCAACCUCAGUUGUUGGACUAAUACCAACUUGUAACCAUUGUGAAUGAUUCUCACAACUGAUAUUGGUAUCCUUUAGGUCGCUUGGCUUUACUAAUUUCUGUUUACUAUCUGCUUCAUCAUCUCCUACAAUUUGCGUUGCUUUAUCAUGGACGAUGCUAUCGUUCAUGUUGGUUUUUUCAGUACGAUUAUUAUUGUUGUUGUUAUUAUUUUCUUGACUCUUGUUCUUAUCAUUCUCGUUUUCUUGGUGCGGUUGCUCGUACUUGUUUUGGUAUAUAACAUCGUCUUUUGUUUCUUCAUUUUCAGUAACAUUACUCAAUGGAUGCAAGUGUAUAUCCGUGGAAACCUCAAAGCUCAAAGGAUUCGUCCAAGGUUCUUGCCUUAGUACUCUAGACAUGUCUUGAUCAUCUGCUGGAAUGUUAAGAUCUAAAGGAUCUGAUGUAUGCAAUGUUGAUUUUUCAUUUAUUUGUUCCAAGGGAUUGUGAAAAUGGAAUUUAGCAGUAAAAAUAGUUGAAUCUUGGGAGUUGGAAUUAGUGAUCCAAUGGCACCUUUUAUGACCACCUAAUGCUUGUCCUGUUGAGAAAAUCUAUGGCAAAUUGAACAUUCAUGAACUUUUGAUUUUCUCCUAGAAGCUCCUAUUAAUGAGGGGCCUUGUUCAAAUUGGUAAAAUGAUGAUUUUAAACCUUUAAAGUAAUUUUCAUUUGUGAUCACGUCAUGAUUAACUAAGCUGCUAUCAUCGAAUUGAUCUUGUUUGACUGCAUAACAUCCUUUAACCUUCUGUGACUUGCCCUAUGUCCACCUACAGCUUGAUGGGACUUGGAUACUUUUUUGCAUUUUUUACAUCCAAACAAUCCUUCGGAAGCUCCUUUAGUCUUGUCCAAUGAUAAUAUAAAGAAGUCAUCUUUUUUACUGUGUUCGAUAUCUGUGUCUCAAUUCACGAGAUGAGUACUACUAAGAUAGGUCAAUGGCUUCCGCCUCUCAUCAUCCUUACUAGACGAGGCACAUGAUUCCUCAGGGUCGAUGGUUAAUGGGUCCACCCUUGCAUUCGCUAAAUUUAUAAGACAUUUUGCAAGGAGAAGAUCUUCUUGCUCACUUGAUAUAUUAUAAGUUGAACUAAAACUUCCAACUUUAGUCCUCAAGGAUCUUUUCCUUUUAGACCAACCAUAACCUUUUCUUCCAUCUGAACCACCAGGCGAUGAUACCAAGGACUCAACAUCACCUAGCCUACAUUUUCCAUGUUCAAGAAAAGAUUUCCAUGAUAAGAGUUCUUUCCCACAGUUCUCACAUACCCUAGGGCUCUUUAGCUUAUUAGGGUUUGCUCUCAAUUGAUACAUCCUCUUGUUGUCACUUCCUCCAUGUCUGUCUUCCCAAUCACUAGCUUCAUCAUCAUCCACAAAUGCAUUCUCAUUUCCACUCUCAUGAGCUCUCAUAUGCCCACCUAGAGCUCUCCCACACAUAAAAUCUUUCUUACUAAUCGUAGGUAUUACUCGAUAGUCAAUACUAUUUUUUGCAUAAUUAAUGCAUAGGUUAAAAAGGUGUACCAAACAAGAUAUUAUUAAUAUACAAAACUAAUAUUUGUUUGUAUUAUUGUACCUAAUGCAUCCUACCAAACAACCCUUGUAAGCUUUUGUGUGGUUGCUCCUAUUGAAUUUCGUAGAUUCAAAUAGAAGUAGAACGUAGUUCUCUAAAAACAAGGGGGACAAGUCUCCUGAAUUGGCCAAAAUGAUGUUGUUUUCGGAUGAAGAGAAGAGAGAGAAAAAAAAAAGAGGAAGAUAGAAGUAUUAAAGAAAGGAUGGAUUCUCUAUUAAAAUUUUCAUUACUUUAGGGAUUGUUUGUGGGUGGAUAUUGUGAAUACUCGAGGGUGGAGGGCAGAUAUUGAUGCAUUCUUCCCGUAGAAAUGAUAUUAGUAGCCACUCUAAAGAGAUAAGUACUAUUUAGCAAUUAGUUAAUAUCUCAUAAAUUUCAAUUUUUGUGUCCCAUUUUUUAGGAUACAAAUAUAUUAAAUUGUUAGAAUUUAUAACUUUUAGCUGUAAAUUUCAUAACAAAAUACGUAUUGACUAAUCUCUAAAUAGCAGACUUAAGAAUGAUUGUUGGUGUACUUCCCCCUUUCUUUUUCCAUUGCUUGUGAGGAUCAUACAGUAAGAGGGCAACAAAAAGCAUUUUUUUAUAAAAAGGACAUUUGAAUAAUAAUAUUUGAAACAUAAAUUUUAUUAAACUCCUAAAAGCAGAAAAUUUCAAAGUCAUUUUUGUGACAUUGAUAUUACCCAUUGUAUUUUUGUGUUGUAUUGAAGAAUACAAUUAAAAAUUGACAUUGGAAUUGUAGGUUUGUCCAGGUGUCCAGCCAACAGGAAUGACAUUGGGAGCAGUAAGUUCCUUACUGAACUCAGUUGUGA
rnacentral:lncRNA from 1 species